rnacentral:rRNA from 1 species
CUUUAGUAAUUGCGAAUGAACAAGGAUAUGCUUAGCUUGACAAAUGGAGCUAUUGGCUUUGAAUUGUAUUGUGGAAAUGUAUUACCAACAGAGGUGCAGGUGCCAGCCUAUUGAAAUAAAGCGUCAAUGAGGGUGAGAAUCCUGUUUGUCAUGUGCAGCCCUUUGUGCACGGUGUAUAUUUGCUGAGUCACACUCCUUGGCAUUGGAAUGCAAAGUGGGUGGUAAGUUUCAUGUAAAGGUAAACAUGCAAUUGAGACUGAUAGCACACAAGUACCAUGAGGGAAAUAUGAAAAGGACUUUGAAAAGAGAAUUAAAUGAGUUUGUAUUUGCUGAACACAAAGUAAACAGACUUGAUUUGCUUGGUGGGAGUGUUGCACUUGCUUGACAAGAGCUUUGGGCUGUGGGUGUAAUGAUUCUUUCUUUGCAUGCCAGUUUCUAUUUGUACAUCUGAUUACCUUUGCACAUGAAUGAUAAGUCUCCUGUGGGGGGUGGAUUGCAUGUGCAUGUAAUGAUUUGUGUUUUGAUAAAUGUGUCUGGUGUAUGUGUGUGUUCCUGUGCUUGGGGAUGCUUCCUUCCUUGGACUUACAAGCCCUGACACACACAUGCUGGCAAAAUGCUUCUGCUUGACCCGUCUUGAAACACGGACCAAGGAGUCUAACAGAUGUGCAAAGUUUGAAGGUGGUAUACCUUUGUGUGCAAUGAAAGUGUCAGCUGGGAUAUGUGCACCAGCACCCAAUUAAUUAGCGGACAGAGGUUUGAGUUGGAGCAUAUCUAUUAGGACCCGAAAGAUGGUGAACUAUGCCUGAACAGAAUGAAUUCAGAGGAAACUCUGAUGGAGGUUCGUAUCGAUACUGACGUGCAAAUCGUUCGUCAUAUUUGGGUAUAGGGGCGAAAGACUAAUCGAACCAUCUAGUAGCUGGUUCCCUCCGAAGUUUCCCUCAGGAUAGCUGGAGUUGCUCAGUUUUAUCAGGUAAAGCGAAUGAUUAGAGGAAUUGGGGACAGGUUUGUCUUUGACCUAUUCUCAAACUUUAAAUGGGUAAUAUGUAGUGGUUGCUGUAUGGAACUU